UACGGAAGGGGCGAGCGUUGUUCGGAAUCAUUGGGCGUAAAAGGGCGCGUAGGUGGUUUUGUAUGUCUACCGUGAAAGCGUACGGCUCAACCGUAUUUUGUCGGUAGAAACUGCAGGACUUGAGGCUGGGAGGGGCUGGCGGAAUUCCCUGUGUAGCGGUGAAAUGCGUAGAGAUGGGGGAGAACACUCGUGGCGAAGGCGGCCAGCUAGACCAGUUCUGACACUGAGGCGCGAUAGCGUGGGGAGCAAACAGG
rnacentral:rRNA from 1 species